CACAAGAAAGAGGAUGGAAGAUGAAGAAGAAGGCCAGAGUGAGGCAGGAGAAGGCUGAGCUGGGACCUAACUCCUGUUGAUCUGCUGCAGAGACUCUCUCGUCCCACCGUUGCUCCCCCCAUGCCAAGGAGACAAGCUCAACAUACAAAGAACAAGGAGAGAAUAAUGGAAGAUGGUCUAUAAUUCAGAAGCACAUUGGAUGGAGCAUAUUGUACAUGUAGAAGCUUUUCAGGAACCCAAGAAAGCUGGAGGAACCUGGGAAGACUUCCUGGAAGAAGGGAAAGCUAAGUUCUCUUAUCACCACUCCACUGUUUGUUCAUUUCUUCAUUUACAUAUUCAACAAACAUUUAUUGAGGGCUGAGUGUGGCUUUGUGUAUCCCAGAUAAACUAGUAUCCUGAUCAUAGCCAUGGAUCUCAGCUGCUACUAUCUCAUUCCCCACCAUGGGCAAUAAGACGCAUAUUGGUAGGGAAAAUUCCGGCAAAUUUUGUAAAGUUUAUCCAUAGGUAGAAACACUUUACCCUGUGUUACGUUCAGAAGAGGAACACACAUUUAUUAAGCACCUACCACAUCUGCAAAUAACUUUACUCCCGAAAACCGAUUUGAUACUUAAGCAGCUUCUGUAAGGUGUGUUUCAUUCCCUAAAACUAAAGUUCAGAGAGGUUAAAAGAUUUAUCCAAGGUCACACAUUCAGGGUGGAGCCAAGAUGCACAGCUAAGUCUAUUACUGUUUUUUUCAUACUCCCCCCCCACCCUGUUCUCUGUCUCCCUCUAUUCUCAGCUGUAGACACUGCCAGCUGCAAACUUCUUUAGUAGUUAUUCCUGAUUACUUCUGCUCCUGGUGAGCUCACCACCUGAUUAAAGGGCUCCUAGCUUCACCAGACCUUGGAGAUUAGGCAGAUGACCCUGCAGAGUCAGGCUCUCUAGGGCUGUUCCAUUUUGGUCUGGCCCCCAUUCCAGCUAGGGAUAUAGUUCAAACCCUGCCUCUGAGUUGAACCCAAGAAAAUAAGACCAAGAUGAAAGCUUAAGUGCAUCCCCUGAAAGGCUCUUAUCUCCAGGCUAAGCUUGGAAGUGGGGAGACAGACUACCACAACCCAACCUGGGGAUGUUGUCUCUUGUAGAAACACCCUCCUUAGUAACAGAAGGGUAGCUGCCCCAUGUCCUAGGCAGGGGGAAUAGGAGAAAGUGGCUCCUUGUCUCUGAGAUUUGCUUAGCUGAUCCUCUCUCACCCCAACCAUAGCUCCUAACAAACCCAGGUACCCAGACACAUAAAUACCACCCUACGUGUAUUUCCUGUGUCCUCCCUUUUCUUUUUCCUGAGGAGGUGUGGAGACAAACACCAGAAUCACACAAAACUAGGUAUAAAUUUACUCACUAGCUUUAUGGCCUUGCCUCAAUUUCCCAGAUAAGCUGGCAGGGUUGGGAUUCUGUCUGGCUCUUUCCAUUUAUCAUGAUGUCCUCUUUUGGGUUCUUUCAGAUUUUGCAUUGGGCUGAUGUAGUGGAUGCUGUAGUCCACUACCCAGAUUCCUCCCCCAACCCACAACAAUGAGGUUCUCAUUCCGGAGCUGCUAGGAGGGGUGCCAGAUGACAGCACACAGCUGAACUUCUCUUCAGCUAUUGCCCUUGGAUUAAGAGAGCUGCCUUGCUCAAGGUUACACCCCUUUCCUGGGAAACCAGUAUCCAAUGACUGGUUCCCGUAAAAGGAAUGGAGCUGCCUUAAAAGAGCGGCCUUGCUCCAAUGUGGGAAGACUACGAAGAGCCAUCCCAGCUCUGGAAUUCCCCGUAGGGUUGGCUAAGGACUUGGCGUGGUUGUGUUGCAGCCCAACAUCCCCCCUUGCUUGAUCCGGCUUCUCUUACUUUCCUGAAGGUGUUGAUUCUGGGAGUACUUCUGGAAUACCUCCGGUAUGCAAAUUUCCUGCUUCCUGGGAACCAGAUCUGCCACAGAUGAUACUCAAUUAAUGUUCAUGAUGAGGGAGACAAUUCUUCCUUCUUGUCAAUCAUUUCCCAUGUCUUUCUCCACAAUAUUCCUUUCAUCCCAUUUAACAUCCCUUUAAGGAUUCACCCCUUUCAGGUAGGCUUCCUUCAUGUACUCCUUCCAGGUUCUGGUCAUUCUAAUCAUGACUGCCACUCUAAUAGAUGGUAUAUAAGCCUUUUAUUCCUGUCAUUAUGUAUUUUCUCACAUCUUUCCAUUAUCGUGGAAGCUCAUUAUGACUAGGUGAUUUCAAAUUUAAUUUUAAAAUAUUUCCUCUCACUCAGUCAUACACAGUGAUGGUUGGAGGCAUUUAAUCCUGUUGGCAGAACAUGUUUGACAAAUCCCUUGUCAGUGCUUCACCUUCCUCUCACUCAUUUAAUUCAUCCAGCACACACUUACUGGCCGUCCUGUCUGAGCUAAGCAUUGCCUGUGCUAUGGGACACACAAAGAAAUAAUGUUUCCUUUCUACUGUCCAGGGAGUUGCAGUUGAGCAGGAGAGGUUUGUGGUAAAGUGGCUGACCCUGAGGCCAGACUGCCAAGGUUCAAACUUCUCUCUCCCAAUUUCUAGCUCAGUGGCCUGGGACAAGCUAUUUAAGCUCUUUGUGCCUGUUUCCCCACCAGUAAAAUGAGAAUUACAACAGUAGCCACAUCAUUGGAUUAUUGUGAGGACGAAAAGAGUUAACAUGUAAGGAGUCUGUGUCACUGUCUGGUACACAGUAAGCAUUAUUUAAGUCUGCCUUGCCCAAUAUGGUAGACACUAGUCACAUGUGGCUAUUAAGCACUCUAAAUGUAGUUGUGUACUGUAAGUAUAAAAUAAUAUACAUGCAGUUUUGAAGACUUAGUAUGAAACAAGGUAGAAUAUUCCAUUAAUUUUUGUAUUGACUACACGUUGAAAUAUUUUCGAUAUAUUGGGUGAAUUAUUAAUUUUCCACUUUAAUUCAUGUGAUUGCUAUACAAAUUAAAAUUAUAUAUGUGGCUCGUAUUAUAUUUCUAUUGG